GACGAACGCUGGCGGCGUGCUUAACACAUGCAAGUCGAACGGAAAGGCCCUGCUUUUGUGGGGUGCUCGAGUGGCGAACGGGUGAGUAACACGUGAGUAACCUGCCCUUGACUUUGGGAUAACUUCAGGAAACUGGGGCGAAUACCGGAUAGGAGCUCCUGCUGCAUGGUGGGGGUUGGAAAGUUUCGGCGGUUGGGGAUGGACUCGCGGCUUAUCAGCUUGUUGGUGGGGUAGUGGCUUACCAAGGCUUUGACGGGUAGCCGGCCUGAGCGGGUGACCGGCCACAGUGGGACUGAGAUACGGCCCAGACUCCUCCGGGAGGCAGCAGUGGGGCAUAUUGCACAAUGGGCGGAAGCAUGAUGCAGCAACGCAGCGUGAGGGAUGACGGCCUUCGGGUUGUAAACCGCUUUCGCCUGUGACGAAGCGUGAGUGACGGUAAUGGGUAAAGAAGCACCGGCUAACUACGUG
rnacentral:rRNA from 1 species